rnacentral:antisense_RNA from 1 species
AAUUCAGGAAGCGAUGUUUAUAUGAAAUGAGUUGAAGGAAAUGAAAUGAUGAAGAUAUUCAUUGUGUGAAUAUGCAUUAUUCUUCCAGAAUUUGGAAGAUAAGUGCAGUUUUAUCGUAGAAACUACAACUAAAACCAAAAAGUGUGUUAUUCAUUCUAAAUGUGUCAAUUCCAUAUACUAUGGAAUUGUGAGAAAAUUGACUUUCUGAAUCGUUUGGGACAGAAAUAUAUUGUUUUUCAACAUUCAAAUUUGGAUCUAAUUUCAAGUAUUCAAGACCAUAAUAACAUUGUGCCAUUCCAAGGUAAUCUUCAAAUUGGUUAAUUCUCCAAAUUCCUCCAUUAGUUUUGUGCUCAUAAAUAGGAGAGUUUAUCAUCCUAAAAUCCCAGAAUCUAAGGGUUUCGUCGUAACUUCCUGACCAAAAUUGAUGAUUUCUAUUCGACUUUUGGAUACAAGUUACACCCAUAGAAUGGGAUUUCUUGUUCUUCAUUAUUGGCUCAUCAAUACAACUUGUUCUGAGAUCCCAUAAAGAUAAAGAGCAAUCGUCAGCUCCUGUUGCCAGGAGAUUUCCCUCUGGAUCAAGAAAUGACACUGUCCAUACUUCAGUAUUUGGAUGAGCAUAGAAUUCGUUUUCAAUGAUUUCAGAGUUUCUAAUAAUGAAAACUCUUCCGUCUGAAAUGCUAUAGCAGGUUUUUCUAAAAUUAGAAUUCAAAGAUUCAAAGGAGUUAGGUUAUUCAAGAGAUAUAGAAAUUAGGAUGGAAAUUUAGGAUGAAAAAAAAGGUUUUUUCUCUUUCCCCUUUUUCUCCAACCUAUAUUAGCUUACCUGGUACCAUUAGAAUAAAUACAAGACAGGUCUAGUC